GCUGCCAUAAGAAAAUGCACUGAUAUGGAACGUUUUGAGCUAGGCUCUGUUUCCAAGUGGGAACCAAUUUUAGUUUUUGUGUUAGCGGUUCCUUUUUGAGAGUUACACAAGGGCGAGAGUGUCUGAUUUUGAGCCACGGGGUGGCAACGUUUUCCGUUUGCAUAAGCAAGUGAUGAAGAAUGCAAGGAAUGCUUAUUUUGUUUCUUUUCUGAUAGCAUUUUUGUUUAUUGGUGAAACCAGAGUUUUGAAGACCUGUAUUGUCAAGAUUUACGUUUUUCUUCGUUUUCUCCCUCGAGCAAAUGCGGCAAUGAGUUCUCACGGCAUGUGUGUGGAGAAGGAGUUGAAUAAAUGCCCGUUUUGAAGAACUGCUUGUACGCCUGAUUGACAAGAGGGAGCUACAGUGAGAACUCAACCAGCCCGGCGCCAGAACAAGACGGUGUUCGGCAGAGCUACAAGCAAGUCACUUCACUCACCUCUUCCAUCGGACAGAUAAGAGACUGUACAUUCAUCUGCCUACACAAGUAGCUACCUGAGUCCAGAGAGCUUUGGGUGCCAGUCAACAAUAAGUAAACAUUUGAACAAGUUAAAUGUUUAAAGGUGGACUAGCCUCAAUUGCUGUAAAGGGACCUACAAGUGCUAAAUUGUGCAAUGUUAUGGUGAUGUGUGCAUGUUGUAAGGUUUAAGUGCUUGCUUAUUUGCACCUAGUAAUGUCUGAUUGAGGUGUGAACGACCAUUCAUAGCAUUUGAAAACAAGUUCAUUUGCGAACAUUUAAAGGUGUAGAACAACAUUUAAGUGAUUAAGUCAUUGCAAUGAAAAUUAAGUUUAUUGUACAUUUAGUCAAUAUAUUAGACAGGUUGGUUGAUAAAGUAAAUUACAGGAGUCAGUAGUAAUUCAAGAUAGCCUACUGUAGUCAAGUGAUAAAACUAUAACAUCAUUACAUUAG